rnacentral:rRNA from 1 species
GACGAACGCUGGCGGCGUGCUUAACACAUGCAAGUCGAACGGAAAGGCCUGCUUUCCCUUGUGGAUUGCGGGUACUCGAGUGGCAAACGGGUGAGUAACACGUGAGUGAUCUGCCCCCAACUUGGGUAUAAGCCUGGGAAACUGGGUCUAAUUCCCGAUAGGACUGCAGGGUGGUGCCUGUUGUGGAAAACGAUUUUCUAGUGGUUGGGGAUGAGCUCGCGGCCUAUCAGCUUGUUGGUGGGGUAAUGGCCUACCAAGGCGGCGACGGGUAGCCGGCCUGAGAGGGUGGACGGCCACAUUGGGACUGAGAUACGGCCCAGACUCCUACGGGAGGCAGCAGUGGGGAAUAUUGCACAAGGGGCGGAAGCCUGAUGCAGCGACGCCGCGUGGGGGAUGACGGCCUUCGGGUGGUAAACUCCUUUCGACCGCGAGGAAGCCACCUGGUUGGAAGGGUGGUGACGGUAGUGGUAGAAGAAGCACCGGCUAACUACGUG